rnacentral:lncRNA from 10 species
UUUCCCCUGCGCCUCUGCCGUCCAGUCUUCCCCAGCGCAGAGGCUGCACUGCACUAAUGAUGAUCCGCUGCCUCUCUUCUCCACGGGUCCUUCCUCCCUUUGCUUUAUCGCCUCACCAAUCCUCUUUGUGUCCUGUUCAACUCCCAACCACUUGGCAUCAGCUGCUGUUGUACCCGUCAGUCCAGACCACUGUUCUCUGUCGCCUGGAUCGUUGCGCAGCC